GAUGAAGAACGUAGCGAAAUGCGAUACGUAAUGUGAAUUGCAGAAUUCAGUGAAUCAUCGAGUCUUUGAACGCACAUUGCGCCCCCUGGUAUUCCGGGGGGCAUGCCUGUCCGAGCGUCAUUGCUGCCCUCAAGCACGGCUUGUGUGUUGGGCCCCGUCCUCCGAUCCCGGGGGAUGGGCCCGAAAGGCAGCGGCGGCACCGCGUCCGGUCCUCGAGCGUAUGGGGCUUUGUCACCCGCUCUGUAGGCCCGGCCGGCGCUUGCCGAUCAACCCAAAUUUUUAUCCAGGUUGACCUCGGAUCAGGUAGGGAUACCCGCUGAACUUAAGCAUAUCAAUAAGCGGAGGA
rnacentral:misc_RNA from 1 species